CGGCGCCGCGCCCGCCCGCGCCUCAUGAAUAUUAAGCGGCCCCGCCGCUCGGGGGAGGUGGCCCGCCGUGACGACACCGCUGCGCGGCGGGGCGGUGCCUCGCCCAUAAACACGGCGUGACGCCGAGCGGGGGGCGGUGGGAGCGCGGUGGUUGCUGGGAAGUGUAGUCCGCAGCCGCCCCCUUUCCCCCCCCACCCCAGCGACUACAACUCCCGGCGGCGCCCGCUCCCCGCAUUCCCGCCUCCUGCUCUACCGGCCUCCCGUCUCGUCCCUCAGGCGAGCGCUGGCCGGCGGGCGCCCUGCAGCCCGUCCCCGUGAUGGAACGGGUUCAUUGACCACGCGUACCCAUCCCGUCCACCGGCAUCUGACGUGUUCUCCCUGCCGGCUGCCCGAGCGCGGAGCUGGGGCCGUCUCAUCCGAGGCCGUCUCGUCAGAGACGGGAUGCGGAGGGACGUGCCGAGGGGCUGGGGGCGUUAAGGGCGUGUACACGCACCGAUGGGGCUGCUUGGUGUGAAGAGUCACUGGGACAGCACCGUUACCCUGUCGCUGUAUUUCAAGGGCUAGAAUGGCUGAAAAUAUUUCCUGAAAAACUGCAAUUAGACGGCAGUGCUCCCCCGUCCCGCUUGCAAAUAAAGUUACUUUAAAUGAAUGGCUGAAAAGAGAAAUGACAGAUAAAUGCAAUUAGCACAAAGAGACGAGCUCUCAUACUGAGAGGACGUAACGCUGCAGUAUUUACCCAGAGAAUGCACUCGUGCUCCUGGGGACGUUUUAGCUGAGUAACGUGAGUUGGAAGGGGCUGUAGCUGCCUGAGGUCACUCCUUUUUAAUACGUGUUGUAAAAUGGCAGCAAAACAUGGCGCCAGAGACUCAUCGGGAACGCUGCGCUCCACGGUGAAGUGGGGAUUCUGGUGCAGCGCUGAGUGUGUUGCGGCCCGGUUCUGUCUGCUCCCCACAUUCAAUUUUAAUUAUUCCCACUGAUUCAGAACACCCUCGCGCCACCUGCUUCAGGAAGGUUACCCCGGGUCUCCUGAUUUAAAUGCGCGAGAAAAACACUUUACGUGCAAAGGCACGCACCGACACACUCAGCAGAAGAAGGUGGCGGGCUCCGGAGGCAUUCCUGUUAGCAGUACCACUUGAAAUGAAAGGCAGUUUGUAGAAAACAGUCUGCUACCCUUGAAGGCAGUCCUUGGAGUGAAGCAGAGAGAGAGAGGAGCUGUGCUUUCCUCUAACUGUUCAGUUGUCUGACUGUUCACGCUCACAAAAAGAUCUGAAACGCAGAGAUCUUCAGAUACGUCUUAGGAACACAGAACUGGAAGGGAGAUCUCCUGGGACACCAGGUGUGCCCCUCGUCCCCGGGAUCCCAGGUCUCCUUACCUAGCUGAGUGUCCUCUCAAAGUGAACCAAGUGGGUCUGCCCACAAUACCACCCUGGUGGUCAGGAGCUUUCUUUCACUUUUCGGUCUGAAUUUACACAUGGGUGGUCUGUACCCGUGUGUUCACAUUGCCCUUUGACUCCAAUAGCUUUUUCUUUUUUUUUCUUCUGAGUGUCUCUCCCCAGUGUACUUACAGGCAGCUGUUGUAUCCCUGAGCAGUCUUUGCAUUCUCUUUCCUAGACUAAACAAGCUCCUUUUGCCUCUCAUGGCAAGAUAACCUACACAGCACAAGAACACUGGUGGUGGGCACCCUGUCCCUGGAGACACUCAAGGCCAGGCUGGAGGGGGACUCUGAGCAACCUGGUUUAGCUGUGCAUGUCCCUGUUCACUGCAGCGGAGUUGGACUAGGUGACCUUUAAAGGUCCCUUCCAACUCAAACGAUUCUGUGAUUCUAUGAUAACACAGAGUGAAGGUCAUUUCGGUAGCCUCGGGUCAGGCACGUGGUGGGGUGAGCUGGAGGAGCUCCUGCCCAGCUCUGCACGAUGCUGCGAGCUGGCGAGGGGCUGAGCUGACCUCGCUUCUCCUGCUGCUCGGCUGACUUACCGCUGCCCCGGGCCUUGCUAAUGAAGGGCUUUAAGCAAUUAAAAAAACAAGUAGCAGCACUGAGGUCCAGAGGGUGGAAAAUUGCUGGAUUUGUCUCUGCUCUGUGAAAUUUGCUCAGGAGCAGGAUGCUGCAGUGAGGCUUUCUGUGUUGUGCCAUGGAGAGAGAAGGCAGUGCACUGUAUCCCUCCCCAGUUUCCUGAACAAUCAGGCAGUGAUUUCUGUAACAACCCAGCAUCUCCAAACGCUAGUGGUACAGAGCCAGGUUGUUUUUGCUUUAUGCAGGGAAGUGCAUUUGAAAUCUUGCAAUUAUAUGCAUGUUCAAAUUGAACUCCCAGGCGUAUGAGAAAACGGUGCUAUUCUCCAUUUCCCAGUAACUGAUCAAUGCUUUUUAACUCUCUUGGAAUUGUGAAUUUUGCUGCGGAUUAACUGCUGCUAUGAGACGCGGGGAUGGAGCUUAUGAAAUUGAUUUUUGACAGGAGGAAGUGGAAGGGUGAAACGCACAUCUUCCUUUUCUAAAGUUGGAUUGAUCACGGCUGUUGUGAAGAACGGUAAGAUGAAACAGGAUGGUUUGCAAUCUGCAGGUUUCCAGCCAGAGUCUGGCAACCUUGAUGAAGAGUUUUCUGAUUAUAGGAGCUUUCUGCAAAAAGUAAGGGAAUAAAAAGUAAUUUAUCACAGAUUACUCUGCUACCAUACCAGAAGUCUUUAUAUCAAAUGAACAAAUUGUACAUACCCGCAGACAGUGGCAGGAAAACACCAGAAGGCCUUGAAACCCCACAAUGACUUCUGUGUAAUAUACGCAGUUACCAGAGACAGACAACAUACGGCCUCUGUAGAAUCAGUUUUGCCAUAAACUAUACUCAAAGAGAAUUUUUGAACUGUAUCAAAUACACAACCGUUACCCAAUUUGUUUUUGUUCUGUUUUUAAAGAAAGCCUUUCAAAAAAAAAAACAUGCCUUCGUUAAACAGGAAUUACUGAAUCCCCACUCCUCGACUGCAGAAAACUUGGCUGACAAGUCAAUUCUGGAUGAAAAGCUGACGAGCACCGAGAAAUGCUAAUGUGGGAAAAAUUCUAUUCAUUCUUCCUCUGCUAUAAGUCAUCAUCAGUGGCGCUGUUGAAUGUUCAUCUGUGAUUUAAGAAGGGAGAGGAAAAAAGAGCCGAGUACCUUCCUGGCUGCACGUUAAGCUCUCUGGAAGGAAAUAGACAGAGCUCACGUCCCUGCAUCCUUCAAGCAGGACAUGAGGCUGUGAAGCACCCUUCUGGCUGAAGGAACAUCUUGCCCCUGCUUAUCCUGGGCUGGAGCUGGGUGCAGCACUCUUGUUGCGGUGGUCAGUUGGCACACAGCAUUAUCUGCCAGCAGUAUGUGGCUCUCCCAUCCCCAGGGAGGAAGGUCUUUACUCUUGCAGUGCCCCCGGUUGCCACUGAGAUUUCAGCUUCUGGCAGAGCUGAGCUGUAAUGCACCCAACACGGUACGGUUUUCCUACGCAAUCACCAGCAGUGUGGCGUGGAGUCCCUUUGGUUGCACAAAUGCUUUCCGUUGCGAUGUACGCAGGUUGCAGUAUGCCAGCAUUGCAGUUAAACAGUUCGGAAGUGCAGUUUCAUUAGCAAAUUGUGGGAUUUCUUCUCCAGCAUGAACUUCUUGUCUCUGUCCUCUAUGAAGAAAGCAACUUACAGAAAUAUUCCCAUUGCUGAAAACGACACACCGAGGAAACGAAUUCAAGAAGAAACACCAGCUUCAUUGCCAGGAUUGAUUACAGGUCUAUGCUAUAUGUUCUAGUGUCACAUUAAAUCCUGUAUUAAAAUGAAAGCAUUAUUUUACAGAUUUUGUUUUUCACUUGUGUUGAUAUUAAUUGCAAAGCUAGACCUUCUAAUUCCCAGUGGAUUUCAGCAGCCUCUAUACACUAAUCCUCUUACUGCAUCUUUGGCUCUUCCAUUCUCAGCUGCGUAUUUUGUUUUUUUAAAAGAAAAAGAGCUUCAUUUUCAGUUAGAUGUUAAUGCACUGAAAGAUUCUCUUCCAGAACUGUAGAAAUCCUUCCGUGUAAUUAUUUCAUUUUAUCUUUCAUGCUCGUAUGGCUCCUUAAACCCAUUUUGUUUCAGAGCCUUACAACUCCUGGAGGUAUAGUAUUCAUCACUACUGGUAGAGAUGGAUUAUGGUGGAUUCAUUAAGCUGUAACCAACGCAGAGACUUGGAUGCAAUGUUUUUACACACUAUAUAACCCUAACCGGCACGGCUGGCACAUUUGAAAUGAUCCAGGAGAUCCAAACAUUUUUGGUAUCAGUUUUUCAUGGGGUUGGUCAUCUCCCGCUGAUUCACUUGGAAGCAUCUCAGCCAAGUGAUGGUGCUGCCUGUUGAAGGGCCAUACAUGAAGGCCUUUCACUAAGGCUGAGCACAUUUUCCUUCCAUACCGCACAUUUGGCAACAAGGCUGGCUGAGAAAGUGCAUUCCUCUUCUCCCUUAUAUAUGUCGCUUCUGUAUGAUGUGCUGCCCUGUGACUCUGGGGCUGCCCUGGCAACCGGGAGAUGGAAAUGCUCUUCAUUAACAGGAAUUGUGCCUUAAGAAUCUCAGGUAUUGCUUCAAGGCAGUAAGAGUCUAUCUCAUAAAUGCAUUUUGUUUACUUGUGAAUGAAUAUGCUCUGAUGUGAGAACAGCGCCAUGGAAGAUAAACUUUCAGAAUAUGUUACUGAUUAUUUAUAUCAGUACAGAGUGCUGUCAAUGGCUGCAUCUACAGUAAUUUACUAGAAGUAUGAGAACAGAUGCACAUUAUGCACUUCGAGGGAAUUAUUUAACUUUAUUUCUUGAACUUGAAAGGUGUAUCUUGUUAAAAGCAAACAUCAAAAUCCUCCGAAGAGCUUAAUAAAAUAAAGCCAUAUUGUCAGGAUCAACCUAGAAGGUAGUACUAAAGUAGCCAUCUCAGCAGUGGAAGUGUAGUUGUAGGGCUGUGCAUGAAAUUAAGAAUGUGUUUAGCAAUACACUAGGACAACGUGAAUGAACCCAGCACCAAAUAAUGAAUCUAAACAAAACAUUCAGAAUAAUAAGGCCAGCAUGCAGCCUAUAGGUGAUAGGACUCUCCAGGCGAUGACCACGUUGUGGUGAGGCCCUGCCACAUGCCCUCCAUGUGGAAGCUGACCUGGUGCAGGUGGGGAGCAGCUACCACUCUGACAUCCAGAUUUCAGUGAGGUGAAGAAUGAUUCUGCACUGUAAGCUUUGCAGAUGUUGGCCAGGGCACAGCAAAUCAUGGUCACAGGUAUUUAUUUGGCCUCCAAACUGUUUCAGCAGCAUCGUUCUGCUUUCAGCUUCCCAAAGGUGCCCUGUGUUGUUUUGUGGAUGCCACAAACAGAGCUGAACGCUCUGUGCGACUCCACCUGUUCUGGCCAGAGUGAAGCUAACCAUGAUCCCCAAAGGAGCACAAAUUCUCCUUGCUACAGCAGAAUAAGUUUCAUCUUUUCCAGGUGCAUGAUGCCCAGCCACCGUCACCGCUCCACGCUCUCCAGGAUACCAAGGACCCAUGACCGACCUAUUGCACAAAUCGAGAUGCAUUUUGUGGAUAAAGUAGUCCUUGGCCUCUCGAGAUAACAGGUAGUGAACUUGUGAAAACCCUCGUGCAGCUGAGGACUGCGGCGCUUUGAAAGUCAGCUAGAUUUUUAGGAACUCUCCGUCUGCCAACAGAUAAGGAUAAGCCAUUUUCAUAACAGGAUCACGUCAGCUUCCGCCUGCCUGGUGCAUUUCUUUGGCACACCAGGCAGCUCUGUCCUGCACCAACAGCAGGUCUGGAAUUCAGUGCUGUGCAAAUGUAACCUUUCAAGCAUGAAUUUCUGACAAAGGUGGUUGCCCAGAGCAAAUGGUGAAGGCUUUUCUUGCAGAGAUGAAAAGGUGGAGAGAGGGAACCAGCUUGGCAGCUGGGGCAGUAAGCAAUCAGCGUUGCAUUUUGUUCUGUAUUAAAAGUGGUAGAAGUUUUCCCUGUGCAGUUGACUUGUGUUGCAGCAGACAGGAACUCACCAUGGAGCAUUUCUCCCCAUCGUCUGCAGACGGGCUGCUGGCAGCACUCCCAUCCGCAAUGAUCUGGCACAGCUGGCCUGCCAGGAUUUCUGUCUGAUAGCUGAAUAUUUUGUGUCGUGCCAUUCUUGGCUGCCCUAUACUUUCUCCAUAUUAGAUAACACAGUGCACAAGAACCUCCAGCAGAUUCUCGGGCGAGUGGGUAGGAAACCGUUUACCACGUCCUUCCCCCACUCUAUGGCUUUGCUUUCAAAAAGCAGCAUCUAAUUCCCAGAAUGUGAAGCUUUGUCUUUGCUUGCUUUAGCCAGAGCUCUACUGCCUCAAUGCCAUCAGGCGUGCCUCCUCUCCAUCACAUACCCUGAGAAGAAAGGCACUGCACCCGCUGCCUCUUGCUGGCUGCAGUUUUCCAUUCACCAGCACAUGCAGAAAGUAGUGGCUCAGAGGCUGUGCUGACUCUCCCUCCAUCCUUAGUGCCACAGAACGAUUUUUGAAGGAAGUGAUCAUGCUGAGCCAAUGUGGCUGUGGAGUGAUGGAGGCCACACAGGCAUGAUGUUGCCGGAGACCGAAGGAAGCCAAGUUGUUUGGAAAGCUUCUACAUGAAGCUUGGAGCAAACACAUUCACUGCAGAGGGGAGGUGUAGCUCUUCCAGGGAGUGACAGGUGAGCUAGAACAUGCUAAGAUGGAUGCUUUUCUUUCCUGUAACGUCUCCUUGCUGUCAUGCCUCGAGCAGAAUCAUUGAAGGGUUUGGACAGAAGAGACCCUGGAGGUCAUCAUUCUGGGAGCACCAAAGUGAGAUCACAUCGCCCAGGGCCUCGUGGUACACAAGGCACAAGUCAGGCAGGGCUUUACAGGCUGAAAUUAGCAGCCUGACUCACAGGACAAAAAACUCGUUGUCAGUGAGAUGGCUGCUGAAUGCGCGUAACAACAGAUUGUCAAACACAUAACUACCCAACGGCUCCUUUCUUUCAGGAGCUGAGGAAUAGAAAUCAUUUGUGACAUUUCCAAUCUAUGUCCUCUGAGGAGCAUAAAGGUGACCACAGAGGACGAAACCACUGGUCUUGCCAGCAAUGUCCUGCUGAAGGAGGCUGUUACUGCAGCACGCCAAGGGGACAUGCAAGCAGUACGGUGGCAGGCAGUGUGGGACAAGCAGCUCUGGAAACCUUUCCCAAAACUGCCACAAUGGGAUGCUGGCUUCUCCCCAGAAGCCCAAGAGUGUAAAUCCCUUCCAGAGUCCUUGUUUAUUUUUAUGUAUGUAUUACCAGCCCUCCAGCCCUCUUUCAAAUCCUGCUAAGCUUUUGGUUGUGAUGACACUCAAGAGGAAUGGAUUCCACUGAGUAAUUGCACGCCGCGCAAAAAUUUAUUUCCUUUUUAUCAGUUUUAAAUGCAUCCCUUUUCAAUGUAAUUGAAUGUUCCCUUGUGUUUAUACUGUGAAAGCGAAACCAGAAGCUUGUGUUUACGAGGGCAUUUGCUGGACAGAGGCUGAGCCUGGCUUCCCACAGCUCCAAGCCAGGGGAAAUCACGCAGAGAAGAAUAAGCAAAUCAAUGGUUCUGUUUAAUCAAACUCAACAGUAAUUUGCAACAAAAGGAAAAUCUCAUUCUUGAGCAUUUUCCUAGGAAAAUUAGUCCUUAUAACAGACAAAAGAUUUUUGCUAUUUUUUUUCCCUAUUUUCCAUCCAGGAACGAUUUCAUACAUUUUCUCUCUUUAAGGGAAAAAUCAAGCAAACACCCUCACCCUGGCCCUUUGUUCCAGCUGCAAAACAUACACAAGAACACCUCUUACUAAAGGGGCUAAUUAAGCACAUGAUCCCUUUUCCCUUCUCAUAAAAGCUGCUGGAAAGCAACCCAAGCAAUGUCCUUAUUACAGCUGUGCUCGGAAAGCUCCUUCCUUGACAGGGGAAGGGUACUUAUGAUGGCAACACCAGUCUGUUCCCACAUUCCCUGAUGUGCUGGGGUCGCAUCACAUGUUUAUACACUGCUGUACCAGGGAAUAGCAACAUGGGCAGAAGUGUUUAUUUUUGGUGUCACUACAUUUCAGCAGAUGUUACAGGCUCAAUUAUCCCGGUACUUCAGCUGUAACAUUGCAUUUUCUCUAAGCUCCAUUUAUUUGGCUGAAACCCUUUUGUUGGAAGACGCUGCCUUCUGUAAGCUGGAGCUUCAGCACGGUAGAGCUUGACAGCAACCUUUGGUAAGCAAAUUUAUCUUUUUGGAUUGAUUCCACAGCCCAGCCACAAAUCACGUUUGACAUACAGCUGAACAAAACAAAUUUCUUAACACGGAGUAUAAUACACCUGCCCAUUCGAGACUAUCCAAUGCUUUCAUGCAGGCUCAUUAGUCACAAAGAAAUAAGUCAGCGUUCAGAUACAACUACGCUUCCGCAAAGCAGGAAAAGUCUACGUGCAGCAUCCUCACGGGAAAGGUGAGCAUCUCUGCAUGUCGGGAAGCAACGCGAAACAUCCCACAGCGCCUGAGUCACAGCUGGGAAAUGCAGCACAGCAGUUAUUCCAUUCUGAGGUCCACUGUUGGUCUGGACUGAGGUCUGCUGGGGUGGUGGGCCAUUUUAAGGAAUGGGGAUCACUUGACUCAGUUUGACUUCCCGCCUUUGCCAAUUUUAUAAGCAUUCCAUGGUCACCAUUCUUUCCUGCAUCACUUCGUGAAAGAGAACUGUGCAUUUGUUAUUUGUAUAACAUAAACACUUUAAACACUUUCUGAGGAGCACAUGUAAUUUAGCGGAAAUGAAGUUGAAAAUAACUGGGAAUAAUGAGCCGAGCAAAUAAUACAGAAAUCGUCCAAAUGCUAAGCCAAGCAAGGUAAAGCAAACACUUCAAGAGAACCGAAUCAUUUUCUUUUAAAAUCUACCUGACCGUAGAAAUACAUCUCUCUCCUGUCCCCUGCUUUACAAACACACGUACACGUCGGUUGGUAAGAAAGCAGGAGCUGCCAUUGUACCGCAUUGCCAUCUAUAGCAAGAUGUGGCAGCUUUCUGCUAUUUCUUAACAGGAAUUCGGUAGAACGACAAGGAGAGGGGACACAUUAAAGUUUUAUUACUUUAGUGGCAGUAUUCACCAGAGAAAACAGUAAUAAAUUCCCUACGCUGUGACUGUCUAAAUAGAUUAUCCAACAAUUAUCAUUAAUUAUUAAUCAUCCAGUGACUCAGAAGCCACCCCGUGGCUGUCGACUGCAAGAAUCCUACAGCUUUUGCAACCUAAUGAUAUGAUUUUCCAAAUUACAGUGUUGCAAUGCUAAACCAUAUGAGAGGUUAAUGGGAGAGGGAGUGAUGAAGUGAUACGAAUGUCCAAGAGUGUACCUUGACUUGCUGGCAGUAGGUUGUGAAAAAGCAACCCAAGCAAAUUCAGCAGAAAACUAUUUAACUUACAGAUUAUUACAAGAACCAAAACGGGAGUUGAAGGCAUUUUAAAGGGUCUGUGGAGGGAUUUGUGAAAAUACCUUAAAAUAGUCCAGUAGGUAAGAACAUCUUUUUCUCUUCUGUUACCCAAGAACACCUUUUCCAACCCAGCGUACAAGUGGCAGGGCUGAGGGCUGUAAUUCACUUUAUCUAUGCGCAUCCUUGGCUGCCCGUGUUUACCACACAGGAAAACAAGAUUGAUUUCUCAUUCUUAAGCACAUUUGUAACGUCUGUGCAAAUGAAUGUAGGACACAUCCCAGCAAGAUCGAUAUUUAUGCAGCCUACUUUGGAAAGAACAAGGGAGUUGCUUCAGCGCAGCAGGGGACCUCCUCAUUGGCUUUCCUGCAGUUUCCUCUUUUCCUCCUUUUCCACACAGUUUGCCUGCUGGGUGCUCACUGCUGAUUAGAAGUAGUGCUAAUGAAGGGACACCCCCAGGCCACCUGGAGCAGUGGGACCCCAUACGGAUGCACAGUCAAAUACAGCGCCCAUAGGUCCUGUCCACGGCUUCCUCCAGCCCCAUCCAUCUGCUUCGCUGUGGCUCACGGCCGCUCACACUUCGUGCCACUUGCAAAAGAGCAGCAAUCAAUUAUCCUAAUUAAAUGCAACAAUGGAAUAUUGAAUACCAUGGUUUAUUUCCUGCUCUAAAGGUUCGCAUCUUUCGUGUGUGCUUCCCCCAUGUUGCUUGUUGCAGCUGAUCUCGUGCAUUCAUUUUGCGUUAUAAACAGAGAGGACAGAGUGAACGGUACCCGCAAUAAAUCAAAAGGCAGAAAGGAAGCAUUAAAACAUGCCAACCUUUCCACAGUGUGCCGACGUUUAAAAGCAUCCCCACCAGCAUUUUUUCCAGCUCUCACAUCCCUGGCUUUUAGGAGGCUGCAGCUUCACCAAUCACUGGCAGAAGGUGGCCUGUAUGAAUUGUCUUCUUUCCGCCCUAUUUAUCAGGAGACUUUUUUUUUUUUUACCCUGACUUGAAUAAAGUUAGAGGCCCUCAAGUUCACCUGCAGGCAUGGGUUUCUGCAGAGCUGUAGGUGUCUUCAAAAGUAAAUUGGAGUUCAAGAUCA